GUAGUGUUUGGGAGGAAAAAAAAAGGCUUAAUGUGUCAUAUUUGUCCACUUUGAAGCUUUUUCUGCCAAUUGUUUAAGAGAUGUUUUUUUUAUUUGACCUAUCGUAUAUGUUAGUGUUACAUAACAUGCUUAUGGAUAGUCAUUGUACAAACACAUUGAUUAAAGAACGUUGCUGUUUGUCAGACCUUCAGAUCUUUGAUCUGGUUUUAUAACAGUAUAAAAAGGCAAUUUGUACUUGCAAGAUCAGUAUGCAGUUUUUAAAGACAUGCCAUUUUUUCCUGUCAAAGAUAAGUAUAUUGUUCUGUUAUUGUAGUAUGAGUGCUUCAGUAUCUGAAUUUUAUCUUCAUAACACCCUUGUGCAAUGGAGAAGUGCUUUUAUCUCCAUUUUACAGCUAGGGAACUAGAACAGUUGUUUUUUUUUUUUUGUUUUG